rnacentral:lncRNA from 1 species
UGUAUUUCCCUGUGCAAACUCUCCAACCCACCCCAGAGGCUGGACGAUCUUGGGAAGGGUCGUAGCGCAACCAUACUGCUGACCCCAGAUUUUGUUUUCUUCAGGAUGACCUCUUUGGCAGCCAAUACAAGCAUGAAAACUUCCUUGUUGUAAGUUAACAAGAAUGUCAUGGGAUAAAGCAGAAUAUUACCACUCAAGUAGUUAUAGUGUACCCUAAAAAAGAGAUUUAUUCUGAAUAUCUUCAUAAAAUUUCA